CUACGGGAGGCAGCAGUGGGGAAUUUUGCGCAAUGGGGGAAACCCUGACGCAGCAACGCCGCGUGAGUGAUGAAGGCCUUCGGGUCGUAAAGCUCUGUCAGAGGGAAAGAAGUGUAUGGUGGUUAAUACCCAUCUUACUUGACGGUACCCUCAAAGGAAGCACCGGCUAACUCCGUGCCAGCAGCCGCGGUAAUACGGAGGGUGCAAGCGUUGUUCGGAUUUAUUGGGCGUAAAGCGCGUGUAGGCGGCUCCUUAAGUCUGAUGUGAAAGCCCCGGGCUCAACCUGGGAAGUGCAUUGGAAACUGGGGAACUUGAAUACGGGAGAGGGUAGUGGAAUUCCUGGUGUAGGAGUGAAAUCCGUAGAUAUCAGGAGGAACACCGGUGGCGAAGGCGGCUGCCUGGACCGAUAUUGACGCUGAGACGCGAAAGCGUGGGGAGCAAACAGGAUUAGAUACCCCGGU
rnacentral:rRNA from 1 species